CGUCGGGUUGACAUAUGUUACAAUACUUCAUAACCCCUACCGCAGAAACAGUCUCAGAAGGAGAUCGUCUUUGGAAUAAUGGCACCACAUCAUCGAAUCUCUUGGAACUUUACCAGAUAUCAAAGAAUCCUGGUAGAGUAAGAAAAGUUGUUUGUUAUCCACAGAGCUGAACUCUGUAUGCCUGCUUAAUUGCUUCUUCACAUGCUUGGAUAACUUCCCUGUUCUUAAUAAAGAAGACCAAGUUGAAGACCAAGUCUCUCCACAAGUCAUAUGUUGAUGUCCUUACAACAUAUCAUUUCCUGUUUCCAGCUAUGAUUUUGAAGCAGUGGAGAUGGUAAAAUUAUCAUCAUCACAGAUCAUCUUGAGCGAUUGACUGUGCUAGAUUUCUUCGGGUGUCUGACCCUUACAAUUACCUGAGCAAUGUGGAAAUUGGUUCUGCUGUUCACAGAAAUACAAGUCAGAAAAGAAAAGGUUUUGUUUUUCUUUUCUUUUCAGCUGUUUACAAGCUUCACGUACAGAAGAGUAUAAAAAGGCAUACAAACUUAAUUCGCUAAAUAUUAUUAUUUUGUAUGGAAAUAUACUUUGAGUAAUUUAUUGACCAGUUCAGUGUUCAGAGGAAGAUGCUCUCUGCAGUACAAAUGUUUUAAUGCCUGUUCAAACCUGAUAUAUGCUGAUAACAGAUAAUAGAAAACGCUGAACCUUUAGUGCUUUAACAGCCAAUAAAAUGGAGAUUUCCCCCUUCAAAAUGUAGUAACUUAAAUGUUUGUUUAAAUGCCCAUAAACAUUUAUGUCUUUACCAAAACAAGAAAGCUAAUAUAGUAAUGAUUUUCAGAU